AUGGCUGCUUUGCUAGGCAGUAUGUUCUUUGGGCAGCCAUCGGGGCCCCAACCACCACCGGGGCUCUGGGGCCAGGCUUCCUUUACUUACCAGCAGCUCCAGGGCCUCUGAGACCUUCUAACAGUACUUUGGUGGAUGACAUGGAGUCAUCUUUCCAGACUUGCUUUGCCUCUCCGUUAAGUCAGGACUAUGUCAAUGGCAGCAAUCAGGAAGAAAUUGGAACUGGUGUUGAUCGGUGUAUACACAAGUUUCUGGAUAUUGCAAGACAGAAUAUUUCUUUCCUACAAAAAAGAUUGCAAUUAUCUGUCCAGAAACCAGAGCAAGUUAUCAAUGAGGAUGUCGAUGUCUCCGAACUAAGAAAUGAAUAACAUUGGAGACAUGCACUGGUCCAGAAGCACUUGACAAAGCUAAGGCAUUGGCAGCAAGUGCUGGAGGUCAUCACGUGCAGUACAAAAAGCUAGCUGACAUCCAUCAAGGCUCCUUGGUCUACCUUGAGCAGGCAUUCAAUAUCCCUGCACUUCUGAAGUGCACCUGAGCAAAAGGGUAAAGGCUGUGGGCCUGAGAGUGGGCU
rnacentral:lncRNA from 10 species